AUCCAGUUGAUGAGUCUCAAACAGGACGAAACGCGCAUCUUGUAU
rnacentral:hammerhead_ribozyme from 1 species